AUGUUUCCCUGGCUGCAGGAGCGCGUGACGGCGUGGACAAGCCCUGCUGCCAUCACCGCAUAGAUGAACGCUGUCUCUUUGGUUCCUGCAGUGACAGAAUGGGCAGACAUGACACUUCUUUCAGGAGGUUUCAUGAGGAGCGGGGCUGUCACAGGUUUGCCAAGUGCUGCAGCGGCCAUGUCAGUGGGGAGGAUCUGGGGAUUUCUCUGUGAAUUUCACAUUCCUGUGGCAGCGUGCUAGCACAGCGGGCACACGCACACCAGCAGCAGACUCAGAGCGCUCAUGUGUCGGACUCCGCAGCUCCGCGCCUCCAUCCCUGCUCAGCUCCGCAUGCUGACAGCGACCCGGCCCGGAGCAGGCUCCUGAAUCCCGCUGAAGGAGUCUUUCCUCUACUCUGCUCUCCUCGAUCUGCAGGAGAGGAGAAGCACCCUGGACCAGUCCGAGUCCCGGGCGGUUCUCAUUGGACAAACUCAGGACUCAGCAGCUGACGUCAGAGCUGGACUAUAACUGGCUGGAUGGGUGAGAGGCUUCAUGAUAAAAACUUCGUGCUGACAUCUGAUCCCGAAAGGCAAAUAAACGACAGAACGCAGUAGAAAAAAAAUCUAAAAGAGGCUGGUUUUUGAAUGACAUUUUAGUUAAAUAAAACUUAAAAAGAUUAAAACUGAAACGAUUUCGUGAACUUAGAAAGCAAACCAAAAUACAAAAACGAUACUGAGGAAAUAUGCUUUUAAUAUCUGAGAUCAUAUUUUAUUACAACUGAUGAGAAAACGUGUUCGCUGAGAGUCACUGCUUUCAGAAACUUUCAGAAAGUUUCUAUUGUAGUGCCUGUACUGAUUUUCCUGAUUUUCCUUUCAUUCAGUAAUAAUUAUAAAGGUUAAAACUAACUAAUAACACCGAAACAAUAAAAACGAAACAUUUUUGAAAUAAUGGAAACUAAACGAGUAAAUUCUCCCUGGAAACUAAACUGAACUAAAACGAAAAAGUCAAAAUGAAAUAAAAAUAAACAAUAUUUAGGAAACAAUAACUCUGUUGUUGGAUUUUUGAAGAAUGCUUGUCAAAAGUAUUUGUAUUUUACAGGGACACUGCGCUAAAGCGGAAACACCCAAAGUCCAUUCAAAUAUUGAUCAUUUUAAUCCUGUUAAUAAUGAUGUUUGAUCCUAACAAGGAACUACAUAUUGUCACCACGUUCAGUUCCUGAAAACGUAAAGACAACUUUCUUAAAGCAACUUUUGUCAAUAUGACCAAAAAUGUAAUAAAUAAAAAACAAUUUAUUUCCUAAUUCUGGAGCUUUCAGCCUCCUCUGUGGACCUCCAAAAGUUAUUCAACAACCUAAAAUCUGUCCUGAUGAAGCUGGAGAUGAUAAUAAUAAUAAUAAUAAUAAUAAUAAAGAGAAAAAGAUGAGUUUUGUCCACUGGUGUUUUAUUAAAUGUUAUAAAGCCAUAAGUGAGACAGUGUUUAAAAGAAUGAGUCUGUUAGAGUGAAGACGUUGUGAGGACCAAGCACUCUGGUUAUGAAUGUGUUCACAGUUGAGAAUUAAAAACUUUUUUGUUUGACUUUUUGUUUUUUUAUGAAGAGCAGAAUCAGCACAGUCAUAAAAAUAUUAAUUUCUUCUGUUUUCAGCUUAUAAAAAGACACAUUAUACAUCUGUAGAAAAAUAUAGAAAUAUAAGCAGAGUCAUAAAAGACACUUCUGUCACGUGAUGAAGAGCUUUCAUCGAGUCUUUGGAGCUAAAACUGGUCUGACAUACAGAAUCGAUCAAUCAGUGAGGCCUGAGGCUAAGUCUGAAUCAGGAAGCAGCUGCUUGAAUCCACGCUAACUCCUAUCACUGUCAAACACAUGGGCCAGCAAGAAGCAGCUGGUGCAGUCAGCAGAAUUAUUCCGGAGGAUUUUUCUGGUUCUGAAAUGGAAAAUCCCAGCAGAAGGUCAGAGAUUAACAGUCCUGCUGCUGGGACUGAAAUGCUGAAAGCUUUAAACACCUGCGAGCAGCAGGAACCAGCUGAGCGCUAUCUCAAGUAACCUCUGCUUAUUAGAAGCCAGCAGCUGAGUCUGAGACCCUCAGCGUCUCGUCGGAUUGGUGCUCCUGACCUGCACAGUGAGGCUUCUGUUCAUUCUGAAUAA